ensembl:snRNA U6 U6 spliceosomal RNA
AUGCUCACUUUAUCAGCACAUAUUCUAAAACUGGAAUGAUAAAGAGAAGAUCAGCAUUUCCCUUCCAAUAGGAUAACAAGCAAAUUCAUGAGGCAUUCCAUAUUUUU